rnacentral:rRNA from 1 species
UACCUGCAGCUCAAGUGGUGACCGCUAUUAUUGGGCCUAAAACGUUCGUAGCCGGUUUGGUAAAUGCCUGGGUAAAUCGUGUAGCUUAACUAUACGAAUUCCGGGUAGACUGCCAAACUUGAGACCGGGAGAAGCUAGAGGUACUCCUGGGGUAGAGGUGAAAUUCUGUAAUCCUAGGGGGACCACCAGUGGCGAAGGCGUCUAGCUAGAACGGGUUUGACGGUGAGGAACGAAGCCCUGGGGCGCAAACCGGAUUAGAUGCCCGGGUAGUCCAGGGUGUAAACGCUGCUUGCUUGAUGUUAGUUGGGCUCCGAGCCCAAUUAGUGUCGGAGAGAAGUUGUUAAGCAAGCUGCCUGGGAAGCACGAUCGCAAGAUUGAAACUUAAAGGAAUUGGCGGGGGAGCACAGCAACGGGUGGAGCGUGCGGUUU